rnacentral:rRNA from 1 species
UAGGGAAUCUUCGGCAAUGGACGAAAGUCUGACCGAGCAACGCCGCGUGAGUGAAGAAGGUUUUCGGAUCGUAAAACUCUGUUGUUAGAGAAGAACGUUGGUGAGAGUGGAAAGCUCAUCAAGUGACGGUAACUACCCAGAAAGGGACGGCUAACUACGUGCCAU